GACCAGUAACGCGUUGACCUUUUCUUUGUUGAACGUUGACCGUUCCGUCUUAUAUAAAAUUCUUUUAUAAUUAGUAUUUUCAUUGUUGUUAGAUGAUAAAACAUGAUUAAUAUUUUAUGCGUGACUUACCUUUUUAUUUAUUUUCAUAUUUUUUUUAAAUAAAACGAACGAUCAAAUAUUUGACACGCAAAUUUAAUGUUUGCCUUUUU
rnacentral:pre_miRNA from 1 species